GACGUAGGAUGCAAGCGUUGUCCGGAUUUAUUGGGCGUAAAGAGUUCGUAGGUGGUUUGUUAAGUCUGAUGUUAAAGACCGGGGCUCAACCUCGGGACUGCAUUGGAUACUGGCAGACUUGAGUGUGGUAGAGGCAAUCGGAAUUCCAGGUGUAGCGGUGAAAUGCGUAGAUAUCUGGAAGAACACCGGUGGCGCAAGCGGAUUGCUGGGCCAUAACUGACACUGAGGAACGAAAGCUAGGGUAGCGAAUGGG
rnacentral:rRNA from 1 species